UGGCUCAGGACGAACGCUGGCGGCGUGCCUAAUACAUGCAAGUCGAGCGGAUGACAGAGGAGCUUGCUCCUCUCGAUUCAGCGGCGGACGGGUGAGUAACACGUGGGCAACCUGCCCUGUAGAUUGGGAUAACUCCGGGAAACCGGGGCUAAUACCGAAUAAUCCUUCGGACCUCAUGGUCCGAUGUUGAAAGGCGGCUUCGGCUGUCACUACAGGAUGGGCCCGCGGCGCAUUAGCUAGUUGGUGAGGUAACGGCUCACCAAGGCCACGAUGCGUAGCCGACCUGAGAGGGUGAUCGGCCACACUGGGACUGAGACACGGCCCAGACUCCUACGGGAGGCAGCAGUAGGGAAUCUUCCACAAUGGACGAAAGUCUGAUGGAGCAACGCCGCGUGAGUGAAGAAGGUUCUCGGAUCGUAAAACUCUGUUGUGAGGGAAGAACAAGUACCGGAGUAACUGCCGGUACCUUGACGGUACCUCAU
rnacentral:rRNA from 2 species